rnacentral:rRNA from 1 species
CGUAGGGUGCAAGCGUUAAUCGGAAUUACUGGGCGUAAAGCGUGCGCAGGCGGUUUUGUAAGUCUGUCGUGAAAUCCCCGGGCUCAACCUGGGAAUGGCGAUGGAGACUGCAAGGCUAGAAUUUGGCAGAGGGGGUAGAAUUCCACGUGUAGCAGUGAAAUGCGUAGAUAUGUGGAGGAACACCGAUGGCGAAGGCAGCCCCCUGGGUCAAGACUGACGCUCAUGCACGAAAGCGUGGGGAGCAAACAGGAUUAGAUACCCUGGUAGUCCACGCCCUAAACGAUGUCUACUAGUUGUCGGGUCUUAAUUGACUUGGUAACGCAGCUAACGCGUGAAGUAGACCGCCUGGGGAGUACGGUCGCAAGAUUA